UACGUAGGGGGCAAGCGUUGUCCGGAAUUAUUGGGCGUAAAGCGCGCGCAGGCGGUUCAUUAAGUCUGGUGUUUAAGGCUGGGGCUCAACCCUGGUUCGCACUGGAAACUGGUGGACUUGAGUGCAGAAGAGGAAAGUGGAAUUCCCGGUGUAGCGGUGGAAUGCGUAGAGAUCGGGAAGAACAUCAGUGGCGAAGGCGGCCUGCUGGGCUGUUGCUGACGCUGAGGCGCGACAGCGUGGGGAGCAAACAGG
rnacentral:rRNA from 1 species